GAUCACCAACAAAAGGGAACAUUUACCAGUGACUGAAUCUGAGACAUCCAAGUUCUUUCGUCUUCCAAAUGGAGGGAAAUACUGCAUUAUUUCAGAGCAGCGUGAAAACCUUGAUAAUAUGUCUGCUUGCAAAUGCCUGUUGAAGUGGUGGUGGUGUCAAAGAAAAUCAAUGGCAAUCCUGUAAGGCCGAUACGGGCCAGUGGCAAACUGGCAAACAUCCCUUCUCCCCAGUAUCCAGGAGGAAGUACUCUGUCAUAAAUGGCAGGCAGCAUUAAAUGUUUGAGCGACAAUGCAUUUUUUCAUAUGGGAGGAAGCAACAAAAUAAUAGAGUGAAAUUAACCAAUCAAAAUC